CGCGGCCUAUCAGCUUGUUGGUGAGGUAAUGGCUCACCAAGGCGACGACGGGUAGCCGGCCUGAGAGGGCGACCGGCCACACUGGGACUGAGACACGGCCCAGACUCCUACGGGAGGCAGCAGUGGGGAAUAUUGCACAAUGGGCGAAAGCCUGAUGCAGCGACGCCGCGUGAGGGAUGACGGCCUUCGGGUUGUAAACCUCUUUCAGCAGGGAAGAAGCGAAAGUGACGGUACCUGCAGAAGAAGCGCCGGCUAACUACGUGCCAGCAGCCGCGGUAAUACGUAGGGCGCAAGCGUUGUCCGGAAUUAUUGGGCGUAAAGAGCUCGUAGGCGGCUUGUCACGUCGGGUGUGAAAGCCCGGGGCUUAACCCCGGGUCUGCAUUCGAUACGGGCUAGCUAGAGUGUGGUAGGGGAGAUCGGAAUUCCUGGUGUAGCGGUGAAAUGCGCAGAUAUCAGGAGGAACACCGGUGGCGAAGGCGGAUCUCUGGGCCAUUACUGACGCUGAGGAGCGAAAGCGUGGGGAGCGAACAGGAUUAGAUACCCUGGUAGUCCACGCCGUAAACGGUGGGAACUAGGUGUUGGCGACAUUCCACGUCGUCGGUGCCGCAGCUAACGCAUUAAGUUCCCCGCCUGGGAGUACGGA
rnacentral:rRNA from 1 species